GACGAACGCUGGCGGCGUGCCUAAUACAUGCAAGUCGAGCGAAGUUUUUCUGGUGCUUGCACCGGAAAAACUUAGCGGCGAACGGGUGAGUAACACGUAAAGAACCUGCCUCAUAGACUGGGACAACUAUUGGAAACGAUAGCUAAUACCGGAUAACAGCAUUAACUGCAUGGUUGAUGUUUAAAAGUUGGUUUUGCUAACACUAUGAGAUGGCUUUGCGGUGCAUUAGCUAGUUGGUGGGGUAAAGGCCUACCAAGGCGACGAUGCAUAGCCGACCUGAGAGGGUGAUCGGCCACACUGGGACUGAGACACGGCCCAGACUCCUAUGGGAGGCAGCAGUAGGGAAUCUUCCGCAAUGGGCGAAAGCCUGACGGAGCAACGCCGCGUGAGUGAAGAAGGAUUUCGGUUCGUAAAGCUCUGUUGUUAGGGAAGAAUGAGUGUGUAGUAACUAUACACAGUAGAGACGGUACCUAACCAGAAAGCCACGGCUAACUACGUG
rnacentral:rRNA from 1 species